UAUUUAGAGUAUAUAACUACAUCAUAGGUGCCACAAACCAACAUUUUUUUUAAACUAUCUAAAC
rnacentral:tRNA from 1 species